rnacentral:ncRNA from 1 species
ACACCGCCCGGCGGUGUCACCGGCCUCGAUCGGGCCACGGGUCGGGGGUGGUGCCGUGUCGGCGCGGCACCACCCCCGCACC